AGAGAGAGACAUGCGCGCAUAUCAAUAAGCGGAGGAAAAGAAACUAACAAGGAUUCCCCUAGUAACGGCGAGUGAAGCGGGAAGAGCUCAAAUUUGAAAUCUUAAAGGGUUUCCCUUUACGAAUUGUAGUUUAAAGAAGUGUUUUCUGUUGAGGUUUUGGUAAAAGUUCUUUGGAAUAGGACAUCAUAGAGGGUGAGAAUCCCGUAUUUGACCUUUACUUUCAACUUUGUGAUACACUUUCAAAGAGUCGGAUUGUUUGGGAAUGCAGUCCAAAAUGGGUGGUAAAUUUCAUCUAAAGCUAAAUAUUGGCGAGAGACCGAUAGCGAACAAGUACCGUGAGGGAAAGAUGAAAAGAACUUUGAAAAGAGAGUUAAACAGUACGUGAAAUUGUCAAAAGGGAAGCGUUUGACACCAGUGUUGUUUUUUCUGAAAAUCAAUUAAAGAACUGUUUAUGCUAAGCUGUUUAGACUUUAUCAGCUAUCUGUUUAGUUUUGAGCUUUUCUUUAAUACACUUUUCAGUUAACAAGUCAACAUCAAUUUCUUUUGCUGUAAAAAAGCUUGAGGAAGGUGGCUUGAGAUUCGUCUUAAGUGUUUAUAGCCUCUUGCCUAUGCAGUCGGAGAGAUUGAGGUCUGCAGCGUAGAUCCUUCGGGGCUAAAUGCAUUUGUGCUAAGUUAUAGCAUUUUAUAGACAACUUGUUGACUAUGAUUUGUCUUGUAGCUUACUCGCUUAUGUUAUUUUACCUACGCUUAGGAUGUUGACGCAUGAGAUAUACGC
rnacentral:rRNA from 1 species